GAUGAGGAUAAAGCCAGAUGGCGUCUGACGCAGUCGUCACAGUUCAGUGUUCUUAAUCUGUGCCUCCAUGUACACAUAUAUGUCCUUUAUUAGACUCUAUUAAAUAGAGUAAACAUCGUUGAUACCUGUUUGCAUCCGGUUAUAUUAGUCUGAGCGCACUUUGAUGCUUCUUGGGCUAGCUUAGCUUACCAGUUAGCUUAGCUUGUUAGCUGCUAACAAAGAGAGGCGGAAGUGAUCAAAACACAUCGCUAAGCAGAGAUCAAGUGUGAGUGUAAAGUGUUGUGAUUGUGUGAAAAUGUGCGAAAGAACGAUAGCAGAGUACGAGGAGGAACUUUGUCCAACAAAAGAGGAGAAGGAGCGACAACAACAAAAACAUCAAGUUGUGUUACACAGAACAGCACACCACGGGCCACUCCCACGUGUGCUCUCUCUCCGCUGCGGGCGUGCCUCCUCGCACCUGCAAACACUCACCAAACUACACACCUGCCUGUGAUGAGCGAGCUGCCUUCAAGAGCAGACGCAGCCUGAGAUCCGACGUGAGAACGUAGCUUCACGUACCCAGUACACCUCCCGCCAUCCUUCCUUGUCGUCGAGUUGUGUGUCUCGUCACCUUGGACCUCCCGUGGAUUUUCCCUUGCCUUCCUGGGCAUCGACCUCACGCCUGCCUAACGACCACGAAACCAAGCUCCUGCCCUUGACCAUCUGCCUGCUCCCCGACGUUCGAUUCCGCCUUCCUCCUUGCUGGACUUCCGCCUGGAUCCCAACACGCAUCCUCAACACCCUCUGGCAACCUUACUCAGAUAAGUCUCACACUUCGUCACACUACAUCUCUUUGGUUAAAUACACAUCUCACUCACACACUAAACUGUCAUUAAAUACGCUGACAGCUAA